rnacentral:rRNA from 1 species
GAUUAUGGCUCAGGAUGAACGCUAGCUACAGGCUUAACACAUGCAAGUCGAGGGGCAGCAUGAUCGAAGCUUGCUUUGAUUGAUGGCGACCGGCGCACGGGUGAGUAACGCGUAUCCAACCUUCCCUAUAGUAGAGAAUAGCCCGGCGAAAGUCGGAUUAAUGCUCUAUGUUGUAUUUAGAAGACAUUUGAAGAAUACCAAAGGUUUACCGCUAUAGGAUGGGGAUGCGUCUGAUUAGGUAGUAGGCGGGGUAACGGCCCACCUAGCCGACGAUCAGUAGGGGUUCUGAGAGGAAGGUCCCCCACAUUGGAACUGAGACACGGUCCAAACUCCUACGGGAGGCAGCAGUGAGGAAUAUUGGUCAAUGGACGGAAGUCUGAACCAGCCAAGUAGCCGUGCAGGAUGACGGCCCUAUGGGUUGUAAACUGCUUUUAUAUAGGGAUAAAGUCGGGGACGUGUCCCCGUUUGUAGGUACUAUAUGAAUAAGGACCGGCUAAUUCCGUGCCAGCCGCUGC